GGAUUGUGGCUCAGUGGCAGAGCACUUGCCUAGCACAUGUGAGGCACUGGGUUCAAUCCUCAGCACCA
rnacentral:tRNA from 1 species